AAGCGUAGCUUUGCCCGUGGCAUACGAAGAACCGAUGCCGCGGAGGUUCGCGUUUGGAUCUCGACGUAUAAGCGCGAGACCGCUACCGUGUGAAGCAUCUAAAGUGUCGCAGUGUAGUUUGUGCAACAAUGCCUGCUUGCUGUGCGUUCGGGUGUGCCAACAGGUCAGAGAAUGGGAAAAGACUCUUCCGCAUUCCGUUGGGAAAGGGCGCGACAGCGAGACGUAAAGCAUGGUUAACCGUUGUGAACCGAAAAGAUUUCAAGCCCGGCGCGGGAAGCAAGCUUUGUGAGGAUCACUUCGAGCAGUCUCAGUUCGAAAACCACCGAGCCGAUGGCAGGAAGCUGCUUAAACAAGAUGCAGUGCCUACUAUUCUUGGCUCCGAGCGUAACUCAAACGAGCUAAAACGCAACAGAAAGAUGCCAGUGAAGCAAGUUUCAGCCUUUCUGUCAGACACCGUGCGGACAGACUCUCCCGCCUCUGACUGCCACAAGACCUUGAGCCCAGAAAGCGCAACAGGUUACAGUGAAAGGAACCCUGACAGAGCUCUCUCGGGCUGCACAAUUGAGACUCCGAGCGACAGUGCCGUGUUGCAAGAUGCCAUGUCGACAGACUUUCAGCCCUCUGACUGCCACGAGACCUUGAGCCCAGGAAGCGCAGCGGGUUACAGUGAAAGGAACCCUGACAGAGCUCUCUCGGGCUGCACAAUUGAGACUCCGAGCGACAGUGCCGUGUUGCAAGGUUAG